rnacentral:rRNA from 1 species
AAUAUUGGACAAUGGGCGAAAGCCUGAUCCAGCCAUGCCGCGUGUGUGAAGAAGGUCUUCGGAUUGUAAAGCACUUUAAGUUGGGAGGAAGGGGUUGAAGCUAAUACCUUCAAUCUUUGACGUUACCAACAGAAUAAGCACCGGCUAACUCUGUGCCAGCAGCCGCGGUAAUACAGAGGGUGCAAGCGUUAAUCGGAAUUACUGGGCGUAAACGGCGGGUGGUGGGUUACGUAAAAUGAAAGGGAAAUCCCGGGCUUAACCUGGGAACUGCUUUCAUAACUGCUGAGCUAGAGUACGGUAGAGGGUAGUGGAAUUUCCUGUGUAGCGGUGAAAUGCGUAGAUAUAGGAAGGAACACCAGUGGCGAAGGCGACUACCUGGACUGAUACUGACACUGAGGUGCGAAAGCGUGGGGAGCAAACA